UACGAAGGGGGCUAGCGUUGCUCGGAAUCACUGGGCGUAAAGGGUGCGUAGGCGGGGCUUUAAGUCAGGGGUGAAAUCCUGGAGCUCAACUCCAGAACUGCCUUUGAUACUGAGGAUCUUGAGUCCGGGAGAGGUGAGUGGAACUGCGAGUGUAGAGGUGAAAUUCGUAGAUAUUCGCAAGAACACCAGUGGCGAAGGCGGCUCACUGGCCCGGUACUGACGCUGAGGUGCGAAAGCGUGGGGAGCAAACGGG
rnacentral:rRNA from 1 species